AGUUCAACAACUUCUCGCAUCUUUUCAAUCUGCUCCUUACAUCCACCAACAUCAUUAUAAGUCACGUCCGGUUUCUCUUCCACUGUCAUCAUGGUCACACUUGGGUCAAUUUUUGGUGGCAAAGGAAUCUGUAUCUGAUAUUUAUUACGAUCAACCCCAACACGCAUUCCUUCUUCUAUAUCAGUUGGGGAAACCUUGUCACCCAGCCCGACAACAAACUUUGCAAUUUGUUUGACGUUUAUUACAUAUUUGGCAUCUUCAGUGUUUGGAUUUAUUAUUUUCGUACACCUUGCUGCACCUUGCUACCUGAAGAGGUUGCUCCUCCUGCAUCAUUUGCUUAUCAGAAACAAGGUCCCACUGACUGGGUGCAGCUAAACCAGUGUCAGACUCCUUGAUACCACAUAAAUCAUUGACUUUCUUAGCCAUUUCCUUAAUUUCCUUCUCGACCUUCUUAAUGCUAUUAGAAUAUGGUCCUAAACCAUAAGUUUUGAGAAGAGCGAUGUCAUCUUCGUCGAGAGGGCGAGGGUUCUUCUCGUCCUUGAUCUCAUCUUCAGGCUCUGGUGCCAUUCCAAUUCGUGAUUGGUUUUCUUUGAUUCUUUGACAGUGUUCUGCUCUUCAGUCACCG
rnacentral:misc_RNA from 1 species